GUUCUUCCUUUGCCUGCAUAUAUACUAAAAUUGGGAUGAUACAGAGAAGACUAGGAUGGCCCCUGUGCAAGGAUGACACUCAAAUUGUGACGUGUUUCAUAUUUUU
rnacentral:snRNA from 1 species